rnacentral:rRNA from 1 species
UACAGAGGGGGCAAGCGUUGUUCGGAAUUACUGGGCGUAAAGGGCGCGUAGGCGGCCUUCUAAGUCGAACGUGAAAUCCCCGGGCUCAACCCGGGAACUGCGUCCGAUACUGGAAGGCUUGAAUCCGGGAGAGGGAUGCGGAAUUCCAGGUGUAGCGGUGAAAUGCGUAGAUAUCAGGAGGAACACCCAUGGCGAAGGCAGCAAACUGGGCCACAUCUGACGCUGAGGCGCGAAAGCGUGGGUAGCAAACAGG